CCGCGAUUGCAAGCCGCCUAAUACCUAACAGGUACUAUGUGAUAUUAUGUCGAAAUAACGCAUAUUAUUAUUAUGUCUUACCGUCUCCGUUAUUCGUUCAUUAAUUAUUAUUCGGUUUUUUUUUUGUUUUGUUUUGCUUUACAACAACUGCGCUGUAACGAUAUAAUAUUAUAUAAUAGGUAUAAUAAUACAAUAAUAAUAUUAAUAAACGCGUAUAAGUAACUGCAAAAAACUGGCGCGUCGAUGGAUCUUUCGUGUUUUUGUUAGUGUUUCCGAGUCGGUGAUAUUAUAAUAAAUAAUAUUACCCGUUUUCACAUGUUUUUUUAAUAAUAAUAAUAAUAAAAAAAAAGUCCACGAGACUUUCUACAGUGGUCGCGGCGACGACGGCGACAGCAACGGCGACGGCUCUCAAUCGUCGGUCGCUAUACCAUGGCCUCUGUUGCCCGACACGGCCGUUUCAAUUUAGAGGUACACACUCAUUGCCUGCAUACAAACUUUUGUAAAAGUGGAUCCAUAUGUUAUAUCAGCGUCAUUUCGUUCGACAAAAGAAGAUUAAAGAAUACAUAAUAAAAGCUUGCACUUAAAAAUAUAUAUCUGUACAUUGCAACUGGGCUGUUCCAGUAUGAACUAUUAUGAAGAAGGUUGUAUUCAAGUUUCAAACUUUGGCUAUAGAAAUUGAAGAUAUUUCAAAUUUUUUAUUACAAAAUAAUCGUUAAAUUUACGUGAUUUUUAUAAAUUUUGUUAAAAUUUCAAGUUAAAAUGUAUUCAA